rnacentral:rRNA from 1 species
CCUACGGGAGGCAGCAGUGAGGAAUAUUGGUCAAUGGACGAGAGUCUGAACCAGCCAAGUAGCGUGAAGGAUGACUGCCCUAUGGGUUGUAAACUUCUUUUAUAUGGGAAUAAAACAGGGUAUGCAUACCCUCUUGUAUGUACCAUAUGAAUAAGGCUCGGCUAACUCCGUGCAAGCAGCCGCGGUAAUACGGAGGAUCCGAUCGUUAUCCGGAUUUAUUGGGUUUAAAGGGAGCGUAGGUGGAUUUUUAAGUCAGUUGUGAAAGUUUGCUGCUCAACCGUGAAAUUGCAUCUGAAACUGGCAGUCUUGAGUACAGUAGAGGUGGGCGGAAUUCGUGGUGGAGCGGUGAAAUGCUUAGAUAUCACGAAGAACUCCGAUUGCGAAGGCAGCUCACUGGACUGCAACUGACACUGAUGCUCGAAAGUGUGGGUAGCAAACAGGAUUAGAUACCCGUGUAGUC